rnacentral:lncRNA from 1 species
UUUUUUUGUUUUUUUGUUUUCUUUUCUAUUUUUUUCUGUAGCUUUAGGGCUUUAUUUAAAAUACCUAGGCACUUUCUAAAAUCCUGAAAAUAAUUGUGGGCUCUGUUGGGAUUAUUCCUAACACCCCUGACUUAAUUCCAGAAUUAUUUGAACAUUUAAAAUAUUUAUUAGCAUUUAAAUGUCCAAAGGCAACAUACAUAUGAUUUAAUCCAGUGACCUUUUGUUGACCUAGAAAAUUGUGCACCUAUUUUGCCAGAGGUUCUAACCCAAGGCAAAGAGGGUGAACAUUUUAGAAGGGCAUUUCAGGUUCAUUGAAAUUAUUUUUUAGUAAACCCUAGUUGAUUUCAAGAGGGGUGCUGGGGGUUCUGCCUUCCCCAUUUCAGAUUUCUGAUGAAAAAUAAACAUGAUGCACACUCUAAUGCAUGGACUAGCUAGGGUGUGACAACUCACCCCCACUCAAAAGAAUCUCGUCCCGAGAUUUAGGAUCCUCUGGGAAUAAGGUGGGGUACUCGAGUCGAAGACAAUCCUCCCUUUCCCAAGUGGCUUCUUCCUUGGAAUGAUGUGACCAUUGAACCUUGAGAAACUUGAUAUUAUGACGUCGAGUGGUACGCUCGGCUUGAUCAAGGAUAUGAAUGGGAUAUUCCCGAUAAGAGAGGUUAUCUUGUAGAUCAAGCGUUUCGUGGUCCACUCCACGGAUAGGAUCCGCGAAGCAACGCCUGAGUUGUGAAACGUGGAAGACAUCGUGAACUCUGGAAAGAUGCGGAGGUAGUUCCAAUUGGUAGGCAACUUCUCCUCGUUUAGCAAGAAUGCGAAAGGGUCCAAUGUAACGAGGAGCCAAUUUGCCUUUGAUACCGAAACGAUGGUUUCCCUUUAACGGGGUAACCCAAAGGUAAGCCUUCUCGUUGACUUCAUAAGUCGUAGGCUUAUGUUUACGAUCAUAUUGACUCUUUUGACGAGAUUGGGCUGUUUUCAAUUUCUCACGAAUAAUGCGAACCUGCUCUUCUGCUUCCUGAAUCAUAUCCGGGCCAAAGAGUUGUCUUUCCCCAGUUUCUGACCAGUUAAGAGGCGUUCGGCAUUUUCGUCCAUAAAGAACUUCGAAAGGAGCUAUGCCCAAGCUAGCUUGAUAACUAUUGUUAUAAGCAAACUCCGCGAACGGAAGGCAUUUCUCCCAACUCAUUCUGAACGAGAUAACAGAAGCUUGGAGCAUAUCUUCCAGAAUUUGAUUGACUCGCUCUACUUGACCACUUGAUUGGGGAUGGAAGGCGGUACUAAAGGAGAGACGAGUUCCCAUAGCAUUUUGGAAACUUUCCCAAAAUCGAGAGGUGAAGAGACUCCCACGGUCUGAGUUAAUUUCCAAUGGAACACCAUGAAGAGACACUAUUCGGGAGAUGUAUAACUCAGCUAGCUGGCUAGCGGUGAUACUCUCACGAACAGGUAGAAAGUGGGCUACUUUGGAAAAUCGGUCGAUCACAACGAAGAUGGCAUUAUUCCCUCUCUUGGUCCUGGGAAACCCAGUGAUGAAAUCCAUACUGAUUUUAUCCCAUUUCCAUUCAGGAAUAGCCAAAGGUUGAAGGGUGCCAGCAGGCUGUUGAUGCUCUGCUUUAACACGACGACAAACGUCGCAAUUAGCAAUGUAUUGAGCGAUUUCUCUCUUCAUCCUAGUCCACCAAAACCUCUGGCGUAGGUCUUGAUACAUUUUGGUACUACCGGGAUGAAUGGUGAGAGGGGAUUCAUGAGCUUCCUUAAGGAUCAGUCGCCUCAGGUUUCGCGCCUUUGGAACCACUAGGAGAUUCCCAAAGUAUAUGACACCUUGAUCAUCAAUGGAGAAACAAUUCGCGACUCCUUUCUUAAUGUUUCUCUUAAUACGGGAGAUUCCCGGAUCUACCUUCUGUGCCUUGAUGAUCUGAUCCAUAAGGGUAGGUUCCGCCACCAGGGUGGAUAGGAAUCCUUGAGGAACAAUGUGAAGGUUUAGCUUACGAAAUUCCUCAUGGAGAAGUGGUUGACUUUGUUGUAACAUCAGGUUGUUACAAUAGGACUUACGGCUUAGCGCAUCAGCCAUGACAUUGGCUUUGCCCGGGGUGUAAGUUAUUCCUAAGACGUAGUCUGAGAUCAACUCGACCCAACGUUGUUGCCUGAGAUUCAAAUCUGGUUGGGUGAAGAUAUAUUUCAAACUUUGGUGAUCGGUGAAGAUCUCGCAACGAUUACCGAGAAGGUAAUGUUGCUAGGUUUUAUGUGCAUGGACUACAGCUGCAAGCUCUUGAUCAUGUGUAGGAUAAUUUUCCUCAUGUGGGUGUAAUUGCCGUGAAGCAUAGGCAAUUACCUGACGAUCUUGCAUGAGUAUGCAACCUAGUCCUUGUCGCGAGGCGUCGCAAUAGAUAAUAAAGUCCUUGAAGAAGUCUGGUGGUACCAGUACAGGGGCAGAUGUCAGGCGUCUUUUCAGUUCUUGAAAACUGAUCUCGCACUGUGGAGUCCACUCAAAUUUUUUAUCUUUCUUGAGGAGUUCAGUUAGAGGUUAGCAACCUUGGAGAAAUUUUCGACGAAGUGGUGGCAAUAGCUCGCUAAGCCAAGGAAGCUCCGAACUUGCUUGACCGUCUCAGGUGGAGUCCAAUCAAGGACGGCUUGAACUCACUCGGGAUUGACAGCAAUACCCUUACCAGAGAUUACAUGGCCUAGAUAGGUCACUUCUGGCAACCAAAAUUCACACUUGGAGAAUUUGGCAUAAAGGCGAUGCUCUCGAAGUUUCAUCAAUACCAGCCUUAGAUGUACGGCAUGUUCCUCUUCAUUCUUGGAGUAGAUGAGUAUGUCAUCGAGGUAUACUACGACGAAUUUAUCCAAGUACUCCAUGAAGACCGAGUUCAUUAACCGAGAGAAGGUAGCCGGGGCAUUGGUUAAACCGAAGGACAUGACGGUGUACUCGUAUUGGCCAUAACGAGUAACAAAGGCCGUUUUGAGAAUGUCCCCGUUUCUGAUUUUGAUUUGAUGGUAACCCAACCUCAAAUCCAUCUUGGAGAAGACUGAGGAUCCAGCGAGCUGAUCAUACAGAUCAUUGAUCCUGCGAAGCGGAUAUUUGUUCUUGAUGGUGACCAAGUUGACAGGUCGGUAAUCCACAACCAUUCGAUCCGUUCCAUCCUUCUUCUUAACGAAGAGGACAGGGCAAGCCCAAGGAGAGGAACUAGGAUGGAUGAAACCCUUGUUCAAGGACUCAUCGAGUUGGUUCUUAACCUAGGCCAGUUCUAGGGGUGCCAUCUUGUAAGGUCUUCUAGAAAUUGGAACGGUUCCUGGAACAAGGUCUAUCACAAACUCGACAUCCCUGUCAGGUGGAACACCUGGCAGUUCUUCUGGAAAGACAUCCGGAAAGUCUCGGACUAUCGGAACAUCUUCAAGGUCUGGAAGGGGGUUGGCAUUUAGGGAGUAAAGUUGGCGCUUGGCCACUCGAGUUAAGACAUUAACUGUCUUGCCCGAGGGGUGGGUAAGUUGAACGGUUCUAGUGGCACAAUCGAUCUUAGCAUAAUGAGCUGACAUCCAGUCCAUACCCAAGAUGAUAUUUAUGUCGGAGGACUUGAGAGCUAUUAAGGAUGCAAGGAAGACAAGUCUAUCAACAAGAAUUUCGUUCCCAUGGCUUACUCUAGAAGUUUGCCAUUUGGAACCCGGAGUUUGAAUUACCAUGGAAGUGGGCAUGUCGCAAAAUGUCAUGUUAUGCAAUCGAGCAUAGUUCUCGGAUAUGAAUGAAUGAGAUGCUCCAGUAUCGAAAAGAAUAGAUGCCGGAUGGCAGUUAACAAGGAGCGUACCAAGGACGACGUUAGGAUCCUCAUGAGCCUCCUCGGCUGAAACAUAAUUGAAAUGGCCACGUGCAGUGGUGGCCGUCUUGGCGUAGAAAGUCUUCCCCGCUGGCUUACCACGGCCAACGGACUUUCUAGUUUGAUUGGGGUUGUUGCCCUGGGGACACCCUCAGCUAUGGUGACCCGGCUCUCCACACUUGAAACAUGUCACCACAUUGGGGCGUGGAGCAGCAUUAGCAGCGGGGCCACCAUAGGGCUUGGGCGGUGCAAAUUGUUGGUUGGGACGAGGCGCCUCAAAGGAUGGCCUCGGAAUGAACCUGGGUGGCAGUGUCGUGCUUGGAAUCCACACCCGACGCUUCUGAGCCCCAGAGCCGGAUGAAGAACCAAAAUCACGGGAGUGCUUGCGUGAAGCGUCAUAAUCAGUCUGGCCUGUCUCAGCACUAAUGGCUUUAUUGACCAACUUCUGAAAGGAUGUGCACCCGUGCAGACGGAGAUCGCGGUGAAGCUCAGGGCUAAGUCCCUUGUGGAACCUUGCCUGCUUCUUAGCGUCAGUAGAUACCUCUUCAGGAGCAUAACGUGCCAGAUUCCCAAAUUCACGACUGUAAGCAUCCACAGUCAGUCUUCCUUGGGUGAAGUUGCAGAACUCCUCCCUCUUGCGAUCCAUGAGACCUUCCGGAAUGUGAUGCUCACGGAAAGCCUCACUGAAUUCAGCCCAAGUAGUGAUUUGACCGACCGGGCGCAUAGCUUCGAAGUUUUCCCACCAAAGGCUAGCAGGGCCUUCGAGGUGAUAGGCAGCAUAAGUAACCUUGUCGGCUUCGGCUACGUUGGCAGAAUGUAGCUUUUGGGUGAUGCUGCGAAGCCCGUCAUCCACAUCGAGGGGCUCGACGGAAUGGUUGAACUUUGGUGGGUACAGCUUGAUAAUGUCAUUAAUUGACACCAAGUCAUUUCGCGGGUGGCGUGCAGUGUUCUGCUCAAUCCGCUCCAGCAGGCGGUUAGUCUCACGCUUGUUUCUUUCCGCCUCUAGCAUCACUUCGGCCAGAGAAGGCGGGUGAGGCAGAUUUUCACCUCUAGCUGCACUGGCUUCCCCCUGCUCCGGGACAGCAGGGUUGCCGCGGGUGUUGACCAUCCUAGGAGAAAACAAGACAACGGUUCAGACAAGGAUGGCUCAAACUUAGCAAGGAAGUGCAGAAUGUAAUGGAUAACACGGAAUGCAGAGAUGUUCAUCCGUAUGUCAUGGUAAUAUAAAACUGCCAUAUAUAUACCAAUGGUCAUACACAUCAUACAUAGUUUAGUACAAGCCCAGGCUACAGUACAACUAUGAUGAAAGACGUUACAUCUCAUCGGAGGCAUUCCAAGCUCCUAUACAUUAUUUGUCUACACCUCCGGAAUCGAUUACACGCCAAGUCAUAUUCCACAAGUCACGCAGGACAGUGGAGAUACAACUACUACAAUACUAGUGGUAUUACUACUAACUCAGACAGCUCCGUAGUAGUCCUCAUAGAAGUCACCUCCAUAGCCUGGAAGUUCAAUGUGACCAUCCAGAAACAGACGGCCCUGAGGAGCCUGUGGACCAUAGGGGCUAGGAUGAGGUCUUGGACCAACAAACGGUGGCCUGCGGGGACCACGGGGUGGGGUGAUGCCUCCCACAUCACGCCAAUCCACCAUGUCUAGCAGAGCUGAUCUCACAAGAUACAGAUCCCUUGUAUCCAUACAUCCAGCUUGCACCGCAGGUGCAAACUCAGUAAAUGUGGCCCAAUGAUCAGCACGGGUAUUGAAAAGCUCCAACCUCAAGGCCCGAUUCUCUUGGUCCUUAUCUUCGAGCAUCUCGGCAAUUGUACGAGUUAAUGAGUCCUCCUGAGUGGAGUCAGCAUAGAUGGCCUGAAGAUACCCUUGCGCUCCCGGAUGUGAAGCUGGCAUGUAACGGAAGUCGGUGUUUCGAAGCAGGCCAGUCCGGACUCGCAUGAUGGUCAUCAUGGAAUAGGCAGCAUCCUGCACAGGCAUCUCAACGGUAACCCCGAGUCCAUAGGAACAGUGAAGGGGCUCGGUAGAUCUAGGAUAAGAAGGAAAUAUCCUGACGGUGCAGAAAUACUGGCUUUGGUUAAAGUCGCCGAACUGCUCUUCGACAGUGUAUUCGGGAUACCAACGGUAACCUGUCUCGAUCAUGACCCGGACUAACAUAGCAGUAUGACCGGGCACGUCGAGGCACCUGGUCAGGCGAACCACUUGGUUUUGAGGACGGUUGGCCAUCUGAAAGCACAACCACAAUGCAAAGACAUUAGAAUUUCUAGGGAAAAUUGGACAGCAUAACGGCUGUAAAUGCUCAGAAAAAGAUUCGAGACAUCCACAACAGUUCACAAUACCACUCAACAACAUCAUAUCAAGGUUCUGAUUCAAUUAGCAACAUACUAAGAAUAGUAGAAACUGAACUGGGACUCGUAACAACAAUCCUAUAAGCUACUACGGAUUAGUAACACGUGAACCUGAUAGAGGAAGAGAGCCUAGUCCUUAACCCACGUUGAAUGAGGAGAGAAUGCCUCAGAUCAGAGGCUUAGGUAAAGGAGUAAAAGAACCUUACGUUCCCUCCCACAAUCAAUUCCCCUACAUAUAACUAGAGCAUUUCUAGACUCGACAUCGACCAGUUUGGCUCAACGAACCUACAGGCAGUCCGGCUCUGAUGCCAACGCUGUCAGGACCCCGAUUCCAAGUCACAUCGAUCUAGCCGGCAACACCUCAUAUCACUUUGCGGCCUCACGCACGGUAUCCCACGGGUGUCGCCUUACCAUGGCCCGGGACCGUUUGCACCUUUUGGCUCACGUAUAUGAUAGUGUCGCUAGCAGCCAUAUGACAGAGAACCCGGGCCGACAUGGCUAGUCGUGAACCCAAAGCAGCACAGACUUAUGGAGACAGGCAUACAUGAAUCACAUCGAACAUGUCGGUCAUCAACGAGUGAUUCCGGGCUGUAGCACUGGGCUAACAGGACUCCGGGGAACCCCAGGCUGUAGCAGGCUAGGCAGGACUCCGGAAGUCACCGUGUGACAUUUCCCCGAAGGGACAGACAUAGGGACGAAGUGAAACACAUGCCGGCCAGUCAAGUGUCCUGAACAGUAGUGCUGGGCUAGCAGGACUCCGGUGAACCGGGCUGUAGCGGACUACUAUGGCUCGAGGAACACUAGACUACAUUUCCCCAUAAGAAAGGCUGCCAAGGAUAAACAACUAGAUUGUCGGAUCCCACUCAUACCAAACAUUUCAAUCAUACACACAAUAUGCCUGAUAUGAGUACAUACAACAUGGCAUCACAACAAAACUCUACAACUCAAGUACUUUAUUUAAAGGCUCCAGAGAGCCAUACAUAACAUGUUCAUACAGAUAGGGGUCACAUGACCCGACACUCAAGUCAUACAAACAUACAAGCACAUGCGGAAGCAACUAGUCUGAGUACAGACUCUAGAAAGAAAGAAGGCUUCUCGAAGCAUAUCUAUCUACAUAGGGCCCUCCAUGGCCAGGAUCACCACCUGGGUGGCUAGUCACUCGUCGACGUCAAGGUCUACAUAAAACCCAUCAGAGGGGGCAGCGUUGUCGUCUGAAAACAAUAAAAAAGCAAACAUGAGUACAAAGGUACUCAGCAAGUCUUACAUCAGAACCUACUAUACAUGCUUAUUCUCAAGAAGGUGGUGGGGUUGAUGCAGCAAGCCAGCUUUGACUCUUUGCUAAGCUAUCCUACGGAACUCCACCAGUAAAAUAGUUUUCGCACACGAGUCCACUACUCACCAACACAAUACUCCACCGGGGAUCCUCCCUCGUCAUCCUACGAGAGGGCCAUCCUCGAUACUCACACUUAUCUUGAGUCUUUUAGUAGUAUCCAUUAACUUGUCUAUGAACUGUAUAGGCAACCAAGUAGUCCUUUACCGCGGACGCGGCUAUUCGAAUAGUUUAUACCCUGUAGGGGUGUACUUCGUCAUACACGCUUUCACCACUUACCGCCGUUUACACGACAUGUACUCGGCAACCUUCAAGCGGAAGCCCGACGAGGGUGUCGGCCACGGCCUACCUAAACACUUAAGUCUCUAGUCCAGGUUUAUCGCCUAUCCAGGUUCCAUCCGCAGGGAGUCCGGCCCAGGUGUCCACAUACGGCCCUGAACGAUCUGAACAGUGUUCCCGAGACACCAAACGGGUGACUCGGUACACCGUGCCACGGUGUAUCUAACGCAACAUAGCCCACCCCUAGGGUCAGCGUUACGCACGACCGCCAACACAUAACCUACAAACACCAGAAACUAAUUGCAACUCCUGGACAGAGUACUAGGGUGAUUAAGAAGCCGAGAGGGUCCAUUGGUUUCGGGCCCAAUGUACGGUAGUAACUGCAUCUUAAAUCACACAUACAGAUCUCAGUUCUUAUGGACGGCCUCAAUGAAACAACCCACCAUGUACUCCUACAUGGCCUCUCAUCGAUACCCUUACCAAAACAUGUUCAAUACACCCCUCAUAUUACCGACAUAAGCAUUUCACUCUAGCUCAUCACCCAGAUGAACCAGACCUGACUCAACUCUAAGCAUAGCAGGCAUAUCAAGGUAGGAAUCACAUACAUGGCUCAAUCAACUCCUACACAUGCUAGUGGGUUUCAUCUAGUUACUGUGGCAAUGACAGGUCAUGCAGAGGAUAAGGGUUCAACUACCGUAGCACACAGCAGUUUGAAUCGCGAUGUAUUAAUGCAGUAAACAAGAGCAGGAGCAAGAACAUGGGUUGUAUCGGAAUGAUGAAUGGUUGCUUGCCUGAUGGAGUGGUAAUGGGAUACUGCCCUUCAGUUGGAUACUCGUGAAUAUCCUCGGAGGCAGAACCUACCACGAAGAACACACCGGAACACAAUCAACACAUGAAGAUAUGCAACAAUAUGAUGCAUGCUAUGACAUGGCAAUAUGAUUGUGUCUUGGCCUAAUGCAAGCUAAAAUAGGAAAGGAUGAACCCAUUUGAAUCAAAGAUUCAAAUAUUAGCUCAUUAAACAUGGCAUUUAUAGUGCAUUUCCUUAUUCUGCUUAAACAGCAAGGUAAACUUGUUUUGUCAUGCAUGAAACCAUUACAGAUGGAUAGAUUGAAUUUUUCUGAUAAUUUUUCAUAUAUAAUUUAUCUCAUUUGGAGCUAUGGUUGAAUUUCUAUGAAUUUUUGAAGUUUGAACUAUUUUCCGGAAUUUCCUGAAUAAGAAUAAAUCCAGAAAAUCAAUUACUGCAUCAGCAACGCGUCAGGGUGACAUCAGCAGGUCAAAGGCGCCAGUACAGGUCAAACCUGACUGGUGGGGUCCACUGGUCAGUGUCUCUAUGCACUAACUAUGUUAAGUUAGCCUAAUUGACUGGCAGGGCCGACUAGUCAGUGACUAUACUAAUUAACUAACCUAUUUAGUUAGCACUAACAGAGUAAUUAGUCGGGCGGGGCCCGCAUGUCGGUGAGAGAGAGGGGGGAGGUCAACCCACGUCAGCAGGUCAACCUCGCCGGUCAGCGGGUCAAAACCUGCCGGCGUUUAGCCGCCGGCGAGGCCAGAUGCGGUGGCGCGCUGCGGAAAUCGCCCACAGGGCACCAAUUGAUGCGCGGAGAGCAGCUACGGGUAGCUGGGAACGAACCGCUGCGUUUGGUGGUGGUGGUUGGUCUCGGGGUGGCCGGAAACGUCGCCGGCGACGAGCCUUGCGGUCGCCGGAGUCGGGCGAAAGUGAGCUCGAGGCUACGGGGCACAGCAAGGCGUGUGGUGAGGUGCGUUGUGCCCCUAGGGAUGCAGUGAAGUAGUUAGACUAGGUGGCGUGGCCGGUGUUUGGCCGGAGACACGUCAGUGACGAGCUCCACGGCGGCACGUGCGGGUGAGCUUCGUGUGCUUGUUGUGGUGCACGAGAAGAAGAACGGGGAGGAUGGGGAGGUGCAGCAGCUCACGGCGAUCACGUAGAGGCAGACGGCGCUGUCGGGGAGGAGUCAAUGCGGCGGCGACGUCGAAAGGGAUCUCCGUGUAGGAACGAAGUAUGUCUAGAGGGGGGUGAUUAGACUACUUGACCAAAUAAAAACUUAACCUUUUCCCAAUUUUAGUUCUUGGCAGAUUUUAGCUAUUCUAGGAUAAGUCAAGCAAUCAUCACACAAUUCAAGCAAGCAUGCAAAGAGUAUAUUGGCAGCGGAAAGUAAAGCAUGCAACUUGCAAGAAUAUAAAGGGAAUGGUUUGGAGAUUUCAAACGCUAUUGGAGACACGGAUGUUUUUCCCGUGGUUCGGAUAGGUGGUGCUAUCCUACAUCCAUGUUGAUGGAGACUUCAACCCACGAAGGGUAACGGUUGCGCGAGUCCACACAGGGCUCCACCCAAGGGCAACGGUUGCGUGAGUCCAUGGAGGGCUCCACCCACGAAGGGUCCACGAAGAAGCAACCACCCACAAAGGGUCCACGAAGAAGCAACCUUGUCUAUCCCACCAUGGCCAACGCCCACGAAGGACUUGCCUCACUAGCGGUAGAUCUUCACGAAGUAGGCGAUCUCCUUUCCCUUACAAACUCCUUGGUUCAACUCCACAAUCUUGUCGGAGGCUCCCAAGUGACACCUAGCCAAUCUAGGAGACACCACUCUUCAAUAAGUAACAAAUGGUGUGUAGGUAAUGAACUCCUUGCUCUUGUGCUUCAAAUGAUAGUCUCCCCAACAAUCAACUCUCUCUCAUAGGAUUUGGAUUUGGUGGAAAGAAGAUUUGAGUGGAAAGCAACUUGGGAAGGCUAGAAAUCAAGAUUCAUAUGGUAGGAAUGGAAUGUCUUGAUCUCAACACAUGAGUAGGUGGUUUUCUCUCAGAACAUAUGAGUAGGAAUGAUGUGUGUGUUCUGAUGGCUCUCUCAUAGAAUGAGAAGGAGGUGGAGGGGUAUAUAUAGCCUCCACUCAAAAUCCAACCGUUACACAGAUUUCCAAUCUCGGUGGGACCGAAUGAAUAAACUCGGUCUGACCGAAGUAGUAAACCUAGUGACCGUUAGGAAUUUCGGUUGGACUGACAUGCAACUCGGUAGGACCGAUUCGGUUAGGGUUUGGGCAUAACGUAAUCUCGAUGAGACCGAUUACACAAACUCGGUGAGACCGAGUUUGGUAAUUAGCUAACCAGAGAGUUGGUCAGGCAAACUCGGUGGGACCGAUUUGCUCUUUCGGUGGGACCGAGUGGAACUCGGUGAGACCGAAAAGUUACAAAGGGGAAACACUGAGUUUACAUUGCAAUCUCGGUGGGACCGAUUCGCUCUUUCGGUGGGACCGAAAAGUUACGAAAGGGAAACAGAGAGUUUGCAACCCCAUCUUGGUGGGACCGAGAUCCUUAUCGGUAGGACCAAAUUGCUAGGGUUUGGCACUGGCUAAUGACAAUUGAAACUCGGUGGCGCCGGAUAGGAAAAAUCGGUAGGACCGAGUUUGGCUUAGAGUUUAGGUCAUAUGUGGAUAUGGGAAAGUAGUUGAGGGUUUUGGAGCAUAUCAUUGAGCACAUGAAGCAAGAGGCUCAUUAAGCAACACCUCAUCCCUCCUUAAUAGUAUUGGCUUUUCCUAUGGACUCAAUGUGAUCUUGGAUCACUAAAAUAUGAAAUGAAGAGUCUUGAGCUUUUGAGCUUGAGCCAAUCCAUUUUCCUUAGCAUUUUGAGGGUUCCACUUUCAUAUCCAUGCCAUGCCAAUCAUUGAGCUUUCCUAAAAUAAUCAUCUUGGAAUAGCAUUAGCUCAAUGAGCUAUAUGUUGUUAUGAAUUACCAAAACCACCUAGGGAUAGUUGCACUUUCAAUCUCCCCCUUUUUGGUAAUUGAUGACAACAUAUAGAUCAAAGCUUCGACAAAUGAUAAUAAGCAUGAAGUAUAUCGUCGCUUUGAGAAGUAUGUGAUAAGUAAGAGAUCCCCCUAAAUUUGUGCAUAUAUAAAAUUUGCUUUGGACUGCAAAUGCACAAAGAGUUAGAGUCAUGGGUUACUCUUCCAUGUCACAUACAUCUUGGUGGAGCGCUCAAAAUGAUAAGAAUGAAAUACAUGCACUCAUCACCAAGAAUAGUGAAUGAUCACAAACGAUAGAUAGCAUGAUAAUAUUUGAGCAAGCAUUAAGCAAACAUUAAGUGUAGCUUAUGAUCAAACACAUGAUCAUCGAUGUCUCACAAAUAAUGACAUAGUAUGAAGCACUCAAAAGCAGAAAAGGUUCGAAAAGACCACCAAAUAAAACAAGAGAGAAAAGCAACACACUCUCUCUCGAAGCCUAUGAUCUAUACAUCUUCUCCCCCUUUAUUAUGAAUUACCAAAAAGUUCCUAGAAAAUGCAUAGUGCUAAGUCGUCGCUCAGGCUCGAUCUUCAGGUGGUGGUGGAGUCCGGAUCACUCCAAGGACGAAGGCUUCGGUAGAUGCUGAAGUAGUCGCUGGAGUUGGAGCUGAGGUAGACGCUGGAGCUGAGGCUGUGGCUGGUGCAGACAUUGUAGCUCUGGUGUCAGCAACUGGCAGUGCAGACGACCUCGGACCUUGUGGCACUCUAGAAAAAGCAUGAGUUGUGGUCCUGCCUCUCCUCUCAUUCAUGUCCUCCUGGAGCUGCUCCACUACAGACUAGACUUCUGUUACCUUGACAUCCAAGUCAUAGAACUUCUGUUCCAUGAUCCUCUCUAGGCUCUGCUGAUUUUUAGUGAGGUUGGCUAGACUUUGCUCAAUUCUCAGCGAGGAUGCAAUCAAGUAACUGAGCUGCUCUUGUUUGGUCUUCAAGAAGUACUCAGAUGCCUCCUCUUGAGUAGGCAUCUUGGCAGCUUUCUCCUUCUUUGCCUUCUCCUUCUUUGCAAAUGCUUGUGCAGACGAUGGCUCAUUCUCUGUCAUCACAACUUCAUUGUUCUCAAAAUCUGGACGGAUGGGCAGGUGUUCCUUAUCCAAAAGAUAUACUCUCGUGCCCAUCUUGGAGUUGAUGAGCUCCUGAAUCUUAGGGGCAUAUCCAAAGCUCCUCUUUUGAUCUGCAGCUGUCCUCUUAAUGGUUUCCACAAUGAGACUCAUGACCUUGAAUUUCUGAGGCACGUCAAAGACAUGAAGCAGGUUGAUCGCGUGACCUCUGAUCAUCUUGUGAUCUCCAGACUUAGGCAACAGAGUGUGCCUUAGUAUCCAAUUGAUAGUAGGCAAUCUUGAGAGCAGAUAGUGCACUGAGCCAAACUUGAAUGUGUCAAGAGCUUCAUUGGGAAUUUCCUUGUACAUGUUGGACAUGGAGUAAUGGCCCAUUUUCUUGUUGGCAUAGAUGUCCAAGUCCUCAUCUUGCUCUUCUGGGGCAUUGAUGAUCUGUGCCCACUCAGCCACUGUAGAUUGGUACCUUGUACCCUCUAACAUCCAUGUAAUCCUUCCAUCCGGAUAAAAGUGAGCUGUGGAGUAGAACUGCAUGAUGAGUUCCUCGUUCCACUUUGUGAGUUUCUACCCAACAAAGUCCUCUACUCCACACGCUCUGAAGCUGUCCUGAACUCCUGGAUAGUGCUCUUCAUUCUCCUUGAUAUAGGUCCAGUCGACCCAUCUCAUGUCACAAACGAUUGGCUUCUUGUCAAGCAAAACAGUCUCAUAAAAAUCUUGUUGCUCCUUUGUGUGAAAUAUGUAGUCCACGGCAGUCCUUCUCCUAGAGGCAUAUGGAUCUGCUUCUCUCCAUUUCCUGAGAGUCUCUCCUGAGCUUCAUGUCCUCAGCCACAGGAUGAGCAUCGUUGUGGUCUGGGAUCUUGGGCUUGAGCUUCCGAAGGACACUCUCUUCCUCUUCUUCAAUAGCUUCAGGCACUGGGGCCUUGUUCUUUUCUGCAGCAGGUAUACUCCUUGUGUUUCUCUUUGGAGCUGUCUUAGGCUUAGAUGCAGCCUUAGGAGCUUCCUUGGGCUUGGAUGCAGCUCUCCCUGACCUUAUGGCAUCUCCCAUAAGUUUGGCUGCCUUGGGUGCUGGUGCAGCAACCUCUUCUUCCUCCUCCUCUUCUACCAUGAUGGAGGCUCUCCCAAGCACUUUGGCUACAGUCUUCUUUACCCUCUCUUUCCUCUUCUUACCCUCAGCAGCAAUGGGCUCAAUGGGAGCAGGUGCAGGCUUCUCAGUUGAGGCUCUAGCCUUUGACAUUGGCUGCCUGCCUGCUGGCCUCUUGAUUUUCAGGCCUGGCUUUGAGCCUUGAGCUGGCUCAACCCUCUUGGAAGUGGCCUCUUCCUCUGCCACAUAGUCUUUAUCCUCAGAAUCAGACGUUCUCUUCUUCCUUUGACGUGUGGCAGCCUUAGGCAGAUUGCUGGGUGUGCUCCUGCUGCCAUCAUCAGAAGAACUUGAGGGGCUAGUGCCCUCACUCAUCACAACUUGCUGCUCUAAGAGGUUCUGGCUGUCACUUUGAUCAGACAUGUUGCAGACUGACUGCUGACCCUGUGAAUAGAUUACAGAAGAGAUAGAGUGGAUGAGCAUCACAAAAAGCAGAGAUUUUUGCAAAAGAUUAAUUCAAAAACUUAGUUUUAGUUUUCCACAGAAAGCAUCUCGGAUCUACCGAUUUUCAAACCCGGUGACACCGAAGUAGUUUUGGCACCAGAACUGGUGAACUCGGUCAGACCGAGUCACAGUUCGGUGGCACCGAGACUGCUAGGGUUUCACAGAAUUCCAAAAUCGGUCGCACCGAUAAGUUAUUCUCGGUCAGACCGAGUUUAACUUGUGCAAUGGCAAAAGCCAGAUUGGUGGGACCGAGUUUUUCAACUCGGUGGGUCCGAGAUGGUUUCGGCAGAAACCUAACCCUAAAAUUUUUGAAUUAAACCUAAUCUACGAGCGUUUUGACUGGAUAGAAGUUUAUCAAUCGUGGCAAGAUUCAUGAUGAUCACAAUGUGCUAGGAAUCAUAUUGAGGAAUAGCACAACGAUCGAGUCCAUACCCUAGUUCGGCGGAGACUCGCUACGGUGGCAACGGCGGGGCAGAAAUCCAUUGACGGCAGCGGAGACCAGCGACAGGAGGCUGCUGGCGGCGAGGAGACGAUCCGGAGACCUCGAGGGCAGAGCAGGCUAUCGCGCGGGCGAGGAGGUUUCGGAGAAAUUUCCAAAAUUCUGCCCGUCACUAUAUAUAGCCCGACCCUGUCGAUGUGAUCGAGUGGACCAACUCGGUGGCAUCGAGAUGCAAAACUGUGUGCAGUUAUUGCAACUCGGUGUGACCGAAAAGUUCAAAUCGGUUGCACCGAGAUCAAAAACCUAGAUCAACUUAAUGAACUCGGUAGGACCGAAAAUGGAGUAUCGGUCGGACCGAGAUUCAUCAAGAGGUUUUGGAAGUUUAAGUCUAUGACGAAUCGGGGACUCCGAGCGCUCCUCACACAGAGCGGUUCGAAUCUGACUUGAUCAAAUUUUGUGAUGCAGCAUGAAUAGUGUUUGAGACGAGAAAAGCAUAAAUAGCUAGAGGAGGUUCUUAGGCAUUCUUGUCCAUCCACUUGGCAAAAGAAGAUAAAGCCAAACAAUCAAAGCAACAAGUGGAUGUCCUCGAAUGAGUAAAAUAUGCAAUUAGCAUGCUCACACAAUAAGAUAGCAAAUGAAAUAUGUGGCAAAGCAUGCACAACCAAUCCUAGCAUCUAUCAAGCAAUUUGCGAUGACUAGGUCAUCUAUAUAUGAGUAUAUUGACUUAGGAGUCAAGUGAGAACACUUGAUCGUAGGUCAUACUCAUCGUUUAAGCUCAAGUGGGGUUGCCACUUUUACAUAAAGCAUUGUUUUGUUCACAUCUUUAGAGUUGCUUCAGCUCAAGUCUUAGAGUAAAGCUCCCCCUAGAUGUGAUAUCCCCCCUAAGAGGGAUGAACUAACCUUGGGUUUUUUCGAUGAUGACUUCAUGUAGAUAUUGAAGAUGUGGAUACUCAAUGUUGAUGUAGAUCUCUUGGAGCUAUCCUUUUGAGUGAAUUGCACUUUCAAUACCUACAUGGGUUAGUCCCACAAGGAACAAACAAGGAUAUCCAUAGACAUAGAGUGAUGCACACAAAAGAUGAUGUCCAUGAAAGCUUUUUAGGUUACCUUGUCCCUUGUCUUACCAACAAGAGGGUUUGUGACUCCUUGAACUAGUGCAAGAUGUGGAAGUUGAUUGCACUUGUUCUUGCCAAAAUGAUAAGAGUGAAGUAUGUUGGCGGAGUCACCCUCGAGAACUCUCUAGUUCUUCUUCUUUUGGAUCCACAUCAUCUUGAUGGGAAUCCUUGGAGUUGUAGUCGUACUCGAUGAAGUGGAACUUGAAGUAGUCUUGGGAAUCCACUUGACUAAGGUCUUAGGAGCUUCUUCAAAUGCAUCAAUUUCCUCUUGAAGCUUGUCCUUGCCUUUUUGCUCGUAGUCUUGUGGUGGAAGAUCAUCUUGAGCUUGUGUCCCCUUGAAAGAAGUAUACUUCUCUUGUUGAGGGAAAAACUUCGUCUUGGGGUAUUGAUCUUCUUCCCAUUCAACUCCAUUGGCAUUGAACUUUCGUUCAAAACCAACACCUUGAUUCUUCCGGUGCAUUCCUUGCUUGCGCACAAUUUCCUCGAAUUUCUUACUCCCGGCAAGGCUCUUGUACACUCCUUUCUCUAUAAUUCCCUUCAAUAAGCUAUUUUCUUGCUCAAGUGUAACUUGGCUAAGAGAAUCAUUAGUGGAAUCAAGAGAACUACUAGAAGCAACAAUAUUGGAUUUAGCAUGAUCAUUGUUACUACUAGAGGAAGAAUCUUUCUUGUUACUAGACUUGACUUGAGGCAUGUAAGUGGAUAAGAGUAAACGCUUGGCAAUGUAAGAAGAACUUUUCUUGCGGAGAUCAUCAUUGAUUGCCUUUAAGAACUCAUGCUCUUGCUCAAGAUUGAGUUUUUCAAAGCGUAGCUUCUCAUGAGCCCUUAAAAGCUCUCGAUGAUCUUCGAAGAUAGUGUCAUGAGCUAACUUAAGAGUUUUUAGUUCUUUAGUUAGAGCCUCAAUCUUCUCCUUAUCAUUGUCAUUCGUUUUAUCUUGAUUAGCAUGAUUAAUUGGUCUUUCAUCAUAGUAUUAAUCACUAGAGUUGUCACCAAUCAAAUCAUCACCUAACAAGUCAUCUUCAUCACUAUUGAAAUCAACAUACUCGGGGUGUGUUACCUUAGGACCUUUGGCCAUGAAGCAUCUUCCAAUUCCUUCAUUUGGUGAGUCAAAUAUGUCGUAGGAGUUGGUUGACACAAGUGCUAGACCGGCAACACCUUCAUCUUGAGUAUCUUCGGAGUCGGAGUGAUAACUUCUCUCGGAGUGGCUGUCGGAGUCGGAGCCGGAUACCCAUUCACCAACAUGAGCUUGAUGUGUUCGUCUUGUGUAGCUCCUUGAUGAUUUUUCCUUCCUUUCCGAAUCCUUGCUCCUCCGUGAGUAUCUUCGUUCAUAACGAUCAUCUCUACUCCUUCUCUCUCUUGGUGGUGAUCCUUUGCUUCUUCUUUUUGGAGAAUCUUCUCUUCUCUUGUAGGGAGCCGUACACUCAUUGGAAUAGUGUCCGGGUCUUCCACAAUUGUAGCAGUUUCGCUCUCGACUAGAAGAUCUUUUGUCAUUGUAGGACCUUGACCUGGAGCUUCUAUCUUUGCUUCUACUCUUGUAGAACUUAUUGAAGUUCUUCACCAUUAAGCUCAAUUCUUCAUUGAAGUCUUGUUUCUCACUUGAUGAUGUAGGGGCUUCACAUGAGGCUUUGUAGGCACCACUUGAUUUGUUGUGAAGUUCCUCUUUAUCCUUAAGUGACAUCUCAUGAGCAACAAUCCUUCCAAUCACCUCCGUUGGCUUGAGAUCUUUGUAAUUGGGCAUCAUUUGGAUCAAUGUGCACACAGUAUCAUAUUUUCCAUCCAAGGCUCUUAGGAUCUUCUUGAUGAUGAAUUUAUCAGUCAUCUCUUCACUUCCUAAGCCGGCAAUCUCAUUUGUGAUGAGAGCAAGCCUAGAGUACAUUUCGGCGACACCUUCACCAUCCUUCAUCUUGAACUUGUCAAGUUGGCUUUGAAGCACAUCCAACUUGGAUUCCUUAACGGAGUCGGUACCUUCGUGCAUAUCAAUGAAAGUGUCCCAAAUUUCCUUUGCAUUCUCAAGGCGGCUGAUUUUGUUGAAUUCUUCGGGGCACAAUCCGUUGAAGAGAAUAUCACAAGCUUGAGCAUUGUAUUGCAACAUCUUCAACUCAUCCGCGGUAGCUUCACGGUUUGGUUCUUUCCCAUCAAAGAAGUCACCUUGCAAGCCAACACACACAAUAGCCCAAACUGCGGGGUUAUGUCCAAGAAUAUGCAUUUUCAUUUUAUGCUUCCAACUAGCAAAAUUAGUACCAUCAAAGUAAAGACCUCUACGGUGAUAAUUUCCCUCGCUAGACGCCAUACUCUCCUAGGUUGUGAAACCAAGGCUAUGACCACCAAAAGCUAUGGAGAUCAAGCAAAUGGAGACCAAGGCUCUGAUACCACUUGUAGGAUCGAAGUAUGUCUAGAGGGGGGUGAUUAGACUAUUUGACCAAAUAAAAACUUAACUUUUUCCCAAUUUUAGUUCUUGGCCGAUUUUAGCUAUUCUAGGAUAAGUCAAGCAAUCAUCACACAAUUCAAGCAAGCAUGCAAAGAGUAUAUUGGCAGCGGAAAGUAAAGCAUGCAACUUGCAAGAAUAUAAAGGGAAGGGUUUGGAGAUUUCAAACGCUAUUGGAGACACAGAUGUUUUUCCCGUGGUUCGGAUAGGUGGUGCUAUCCUACAUCCACGUUGAUGGAGACUUCAACCCACGAAGGGUAACUGUUGCGCGAGUCCACACAGGGCUCCACCCAAGGGCAACAGUUGCGCGAGUCCACGGAGGGCUCCACCCACGAAGGGUCCACGAAGAAGCAACCACCCACAAAGGGUCCACGAAGAAGCAACCUUGUCUAUCCCACCAUGGCCAACGCCCACGAAGGACUUGCCUCACUAGCGGUAGAUCUUCAUGAAGUAGGCGAUCUCCUUGCCCUUACAAACUCCUUGGUUCAACUCCACAAUCUUGUCGGAGGCUCCCAAGUGACACCUAGCCAAUCUAGGAGACACCACUCUCCAAGAAGUAACAAAUGGUGUGUAGGUAAUGAACUCCUUGCUCUUGUGCUUCAAAUGAUAGUCUCCCCAACACUCAACUCUCUCUCGUAGGAUUUGGAUUUGGUGGAAAGAAGAUUUGAGUGGAAAGCAACUUGGGAAGGCUAGAAAUCAAGAUUCAUAUGGUAGGAAUGGAAUGUCUUGAUCUCAACACAUGAGUAGGUGGUUUUCUCUCAGAACAUCUGAGUAGGAAUGAUGUGUGUGUUCUGAUGGCUCUCUCAUAGAAUGAGAAGGAGGUGGAGGGGUAUAUAUAGCCUCCACUCAAAAUCCAACCGUUACACAGAUUUCCAAUCUCGGUGGGACCGAAUGAAUAAACUCGGUCUGGCCGAAGUAGUAAACCUAGUGACCGUUAGGAAUUUCGGUGGGACUGACAUGCAACUCGGUAGGACCGAUUCUGUUAGGGUUUGGGCAUAACGUAAUCUCGGUGAGACCGAUUACACAAACUCGGUGAGACCGAGUUUGGUAAUUAGCUAACCAGAGAGUUGGUCAGGCAAACUCGGUGGGACCGAUUUGCUCUUUCGAUGGGACCGAGUGGAACUCGGUGAGACCGAAAAGUUACAAAGGGGAAACACUGAGUUUACAUUGCAAUCUCAGUGGGACCGAUUCGCUCUUUCGGUGGGACCGAAAAGUUACAAAAGGGAAACAGAGAGUUUGCAACCCCAUCUCGGUGGGACCGAGAUCCUUAUCGGUAGGACCGAAUUGCUAGGGUUUGGGAGUGGCUAAUGACAAUUGAAACUCGGUGGCGCCGGAUAGGAAAAAUCGGUAGGACCGAGUUUGGCUUAGAGUUUAGGUCAUAUGUGGAUAUUGGAAAGUAGUUGAGGGUUUUGGAGCAUAUCAUUAAGCACAUGAAGCAAGAGGCUCAUUAAGCAACACCUCAUCCCUCCUUAAUAGUAUUGGCUUUUCCUAUGGACUCAAUGUGAUCUUGGAUCACUAAAAUAUGAAAUGAAGAGUCUUGAGCUUUUGAGCUUGAGCCAAUCCAUUUUCCUUAGCAUUUUGAGGGUUCCACUUUCAUAUCCAUGCCAUGCCAAUCAUUGAGCUUUCCUGAAAUAAUCAUCUUGGAAUAGCAUUAGCUCAAUGAGCUAUAUGUUGUUAUGAAUUACCAAAACCACGUAGGGAUAGUUGCACUUUCACUCCGGCGAUGCUGGGUGAAGAUGAGGUCGAAGAAGAUGUUGCAGAGCGUGUGAGCGCUCGGGGCUCAACUGCUCGACAGAGUCGACGAUGGCGGAGCGGAUGGACACGGUGGUGCAACACGGGGACGACGGUGGACGCGGUUUCACGGUGGCACGAGCACGGCAGCGUCGGGCAUGGCGGAGGAAGAGUGAUGGAGAGGGACCAGGGGGAAAGUGCGGUGUCUGCGAGGUCGGGGGAUGCAUGGGAGUUCGUCCCACGUCGACAGGUCGACGAGGGGAGCGGCGAGGCGGCGGCAGCUGCGUGGCGCGCAUGCGGUACUCGCCGUCGAUCACCUGCCUGCUUGGACAAGCCAAGCUGCUCGCUGGCGGGCUGGCUGGGCUGGGCCGGCAGGUGGGCCUGGUAGGUGGCGCCGGGUAAGUUUUUCUGUUUUUUUGUUUUCUUUUCUAUUUUUUUCUGUAGCUUUAGGGCUUUAUUUAAAAUACCUAGGCACUUUCUAAAAUCCUGAAAAUAAUUGUGGGCUCUAUUGGGAUUAUUCCUAACAGCCCUGACUUAAUUCCAGAAUUAUUUGAACAUUUAAAAUAUUUAUUAGCAUUUAAAUGUCCAAAGGCAACAUACAUAUGAUUUAAUCCAGCGACCUUUUGUUGACCUAGAAAAUUGUGCACCUAUUUUGCCAGAGGUUCUAACCCAAGGCAAAGAGGGUGAACAUUUUAGAAGGGCAUUUCAGGUUCAUUGAAAUUAUUUUUAGUAAACCCUAGUUGAUUUCAAGAGGGGUGUUGGGGGUUCUGCCUUCCCCAUUUCACGUUUCUGAUGAAAAAUAAACAUGAUACACACUCUAAUGCAUGGACUAGCUAGGGUGUGACAGGACGAUGCUUGCUGCUCGUCCCCCGCCGGGACGGUGGUGGCGUUGACGGCAGGUGACGGGGAACGGCGAGGACGCCCGCCGACAGGGGCCGUCUGGGCGACGCGGGAAGCGAGCGCGGCCCGGCGCUCGGCGUGGGCCCGACGAGCGUCAGACAUGGGCGUGAUGGUCGGAGGAGAACGAGGUGGUGGAAGACGAAUCCCGGCGCACCCCUACCUGGCGCGCCAAAUGUCAGAUUUCGGGUUCCGGCAGACCCUUGAGGUUCAAACACUAGGGUGCGCGCGGAGAUUUUGCCUCCUACCAACCUGCACCCCUCCGCCUUGCUAAGAUCUAAACUAUGGAAAGAACAACACAAGAGACACAAGGUUUAUGCUGGUUUGGGCCACCGUUGUGGUGUAAUACCCUACUCCAGUGUGUGGUGUGGUGGAUUUCCUCUUGGGCUGAUGAUGAUGAACAAUACAAGGAAGAACAGCCUCGCGAGGGUCUGUUCUUGGCUGGGGCGAUGAACUGCUGGGAGGAGUUCAGUCACCUUUCUCUCUCUCUCUCUUUCUGAUCAAAACCCCUCUCUUUCCUUCCAACCCCCUCAACUCUCUUUGCUCCGUGGGUGGCUGGUCCUAUUUAUAGAGGCCCUGGUCCUCUUCCCAAAUAUCGAGCGGGAAGGGAGCCAACAAUGGCGGGCUAAUUUGAAGGGGAACAGCUAGUACUAGCUACCCUGACAAAAGUAGUCUUCGCCUGCACCAAGCUCUGGUGAUGACGCCGUCUUGGGCUCCACGGUGACCUCUAUCUCAUAGUCCUCCUGGUCUUGGUCUCGUUGCACCGAAAUGGCAACCUUUGCCUGACGCCUCGGUACUCCGCGGCUGCGCUUGCCCCCUUUGCACCAAAGAGGAAGGGAGGACACUGAGCAGGCUGGCACCCGCCUGGCACCGCCGGUCGUCAUGGCUUGCGUCACGGCCACCUCGUGAGCUACCCCGCCCUGACGAGGCCGUGCCUGAGGAAGCUCCGCGUCGUCCUCCCCGCGAGGCUUGGCCCCUCGCGAGGGUCUUGGGUUUGUGUUGGUGAAGAUGGGCCGCGCUGGGCCCCCCUUUGAGCCACGCCACAGGCCACAGGCAGGCAAGUCUGGGGACCCCCGUUCCCAAAAUGUCGACAGAGUGGUAGGCAAGGGCCCCGCGUACUCCCACAAGCAGGACAGUCCAAAGGUCGUGACAAAUCAUAUGGACCAAACAUCCAUGGGACUGGAAAUCCUGGUGGGUGCGAUAAACACUGCAAUGCAUACAGAUAUUGGAGUGUAACCAUAAUUGAUAAACCGUCCUCACAAAAAAUAUGAUAUGGAUGCUUCAAAAAUAUACUUACUGAAUUGAGUGGACAGACAUUAACAAAGACCGUUCUCAGGACUAACCACACACCAAAAGCGGUAGUACUAAUAAACAAUACAGGGUUCACAAACACAAAUCAAGUACUGAACAAGAGUACUUACCACAGACAAGCAAAGUUGCACUAACUAAACUCUGCAGACUAUUUCUUGCCACCGACCUACUAGAUGAACCCCGCAUAACUGACUAGCCCAUGGACUUUGUGUGAGAUGUCUACAUGCACUAUCACCGUCUUGUCAACCUUGGAGAACCUAACAGAGUGGUCUUUCCACUCAUAAACAUGAUGAUGAAGACAGGCCGCAUCAGAUUUGUUGGGAAGCUUUACAAGAACCACAUCCUUCGUAAUCGAAGGCACAGCCAGGAAAUUGUUGUGGUCAAGUACAGCCUCGAGAACACGCCUCACAACAAUGCUACAGGAAACACUAGUUCAGGAGAUGUGGCGACAAGGACACAACAGCUGGAUAGCUCAGCAGUAGAACUCAUCAUCAGGUCUUCCAGUUCACACGACAUGACUUUGAGAACUUCAUCUCCACUGCGGACCUGGUUCUAAUUCAAACAGAAACCAUAUUUUACAACUACCUCUGUUCAGAAAUUUAAGAUGAUUUUCGAUAUUAUACUGCAUAUAUUACUACAUAUACGCACAGAAAUGAGUGAACAAAGACACUAGAACAUGUCUUCAAAGGCAUGAGAGCAGAGGGAUUACAUGCAAUAUCCAUAACACAAGUUACUGAGGCAAAUAUACCCUCUUAAAAGGUAGCAUUGAUGCUCAUAAAGUACUCCCUCCGUCCCAAAAUUCUUGUCUUAGAUUUGUCUAGAUACGGAUGUAUCAAGUCACAUUUUAGUAUUAGAUACAUCGUAUCUAGACAAAUCUAAGACAAGAAAUUUGGGACAGAGGGAGUAGUUGAAAGUAAUCUAUAAGAAAUCAGUGUCAACCUCCACUAGUAGAAAACGGAGCUUUAAAACCGGUUCGUAAGGACCUUUAGUGCCGGUUCCAUAACCAGCACUAAAGGGCGGGCACUAAAGGCCCCCCCUUUAGUACCGGUUCGGCACGAAUCGGCGCUAAAGUGCCACCACGUGGCUUGAGCUCGCGCCCUGGUAUGGGGGACCUUUAGUACCGAUUGGUGUUACCAACCGGUACUAAAGUUUUUUUUUUGAAAAUUUUGGAAAUUUUUUUGAUUAUUUUUUUUUGAUUUUUAAUUUUUCUUAAUUAUUUGGUGAUUUAGUCUCUAAUCACCUCUCUUAACUGCUCAAGUGUGGAUCACUCAUUCCAAAUCAUCUAACUUCCCGACCGGUCACCCAUCCCUCUCACUACUCCAGCCCGAGCACGCUUAACUUUCGGGUUCUAUUCUCCUUCGUUUCCAAGUCCGCACUUGUUGUUUUCCUGACAAUAGUAAGAUGUGAAUCCUAUUAACCCUCAGGAGUUUAGCUUGAGCAUGAAGUCACACAUUUCACUAUUUGAGUUUGAAACUAUUACUCUAAAAAACAGUUUGACCAUAGCUUGACCAGAUUUGACCAAAAUUCAAAAAAUUGAAAUAAUUAUUUAGUAACACUAAUAUUCUUGAUUAAUUAUGUAGUAACAUUAAUACUUCUUGAAUAAGUAGUUUGACCAGAUUUAACAAAAUUUUUUUAAAAAAACUGAAAUUUGACCAUAUCUUUUUUCCUUUUGGAAUUUGAGGAUUCUAAAAAAUUGCAAACAGGCCGUAGACGGUCUCCAUCGGAUGCGGAUUUUCGUGCUGAAUUUUUUGAUAUAUUAUACGUUUUUUCCCGACAACGUAUGCAAAAGUUAUAGCCGUUUUACAUUUUCCCUACACUUUUUGCAAAACAUGUCCAAAUUUAAGUUUUAGUGUAGAUGUAGUAAUAUAACUACCUCUCGAAGGAUUUUAUUUUUUGAAGUUUUUAUCAUUUUCUUUUGAUUUUUUCAAAACUGAAAAGGCGAUACACGAGGGGGGGGUAGAGUUUGAAAAUUGUCCUAUAGUGCCGGUUUGUGUCUUCAAUCGGGACUAUAGGUUAAGACUCUUUAGUGCCGGUUGGUGACACAAACCGGUACUGUAGGUUAGACCUUUAGUACCUGUUUGUGUCACAAACCGUCACUAAAGGGGCUCGUGGGGCCCUGGCCUGACGCUAGCCUGCCACCACCCCAUUAAUACCGGUUCGUGGCACGAACCGAUACUAAAGGUUCAUUACGAACCGGCACUAAUGCAUAGCCAUUCGAACUGGCACUAUUGUUCACAUUAGUGCCGGUUUUUUUACAAACUGGCACUAAUGCGCUUCACCGUUUGACCCUUUUUCUACUAGUGCUCUCGCAUGUUUUGGUCAAAAGAGGAAUUUAGAACCGUCAUUUGGCACACUAAAAUCACAUGCAAGAUCACCCAGAAAGUUGUACUACCAGUACUAGCACUGUGUGUUAGAUGAAAAAACACGAUCAAGAUUGAGAAAAAGAUCGUCAACAAGAGACAUUACCUGGACUUGCUUAAUGAGGGAUCCCGGAGAGGGGGGCUUGGACAGGGCGAUGGCUUUGAGCUUGUCUGUGGUAGUCUCGGUGGGGUGCUUACGCUUCUUUGUCCCAUGAGCAUCGAUGGCUUUGGCCAGAGCCAUAGACAUCAUGUCGGCCGGUGCUCCGGCAUCCAUCCAAGAGAGGAAGCUGAGAGAGAAGAGUGAAAGGAGGAACGAGAUGAGGGAGAAGCGAAGCGAGUGGGGGUUUUCUUCAAGAGAGGAAGAUGAGAGAGAAGAGUGAAAUGAUGGUUGUUUCGUCCAUCAAACUUACUGCUGGAAAGGAGGGGGUUUUGUGAUUUGACGGCUCAUUGGGCAUUACUGCGGCGGUUCGAUCGGGGUAGUCUACCGUCACUCUACUACGGAGUAAUUUAGUGCAUGGCUGGUGGACCUAGGUGUUGGCUGUCCCACACGUCGGCGAAAGUGAGUAAUUUAGUGCAUGGCGGGAGGAGGAUCCGCAUGGUAGAGCGUGUCCACUGUUUUUCUGAAGAAAAAAAUGAUUACAACAAGCGUUUCCUCUCUUACGAUGGAGGAAUGCGAAACACGGUAGCCACUUGAACAUACACAGUGCUCUUACUACUAGGCAUGUGAAGUGGUUCAUACGUCAGUACUACACAAUCUUGUUGCUAGUGUAGUAAGAUAUGACGAUAACAAAUGAUGUUGUGCGCAUGUCAACUACUCCUAUAUGUAACAUAGUACCGCUUUUUCGAUUGUCCGGCUGAGAAUGAACGGUGAGAUCAAUGUUAACAGAACUAGGUCCACAGCGCACGGAGAGUACGAUGCUACAGUACUCCACGAAACAUGAACCAUAUGAAGCAUGAAUAGUGUUAGGCAGGGUGUAUGAAGGGUGCACGGGAUGGGAGCAAAAGUUCCCUUCUCGACCCGCUUUUGGGUGUUUGGCAGAGUGCAUGAAGGGUGCAUGAGUCCACACUAGUAGGUUGAGAAAAAUACAUGAAGAGGAAACAACUAUAUUGAGAUGAGAAUGCAACCAAACAUACCCACACGCUUUGUGCUACAGUGACUGAUCUGCACCGUAUGAGUUUGAUCCAACGGUCAUGUUGCGCCGAGACAUGGACAUGCCCAUGCAGAGGGCGCCUAAACACCACCGAAGUCCCUCUGCUUCUCGAGGCACACGACGUUGGUGAUGCAGGGUGCAACCGCCUGCAGAGCCUGCUCCCGGUCGACGGGAGCCAGGUCGUCAAAGACGGCGUCCAGUGGCACGAAUGGAUUCUGGUGACGGGGCCCUGAAAGGAUUCGCCUGGCAACGGCGACGGCAGCCCGCAACCCCUCCUUGUCCAGCUCAGCCCCCACCAUCGCGCGGAGACGGCUCAGCUCCUCAGAGAUAUAGGUGAAGAAGGAGACCAUGUCAGGAAGCCGCACCUCGUUGAAGUCGACCGGGUGGUCGAAUGGGUUUAGCCCAAUGGUCGGCAUCGUCGCGCUGGCACGACGGUAGGCAUCGCGCAGCCGCAACACGUGCGUGGCUGCCUGAGGCGAUCCUGGACCUCGUCACGAUCGGCCCGCUCGCGCUCCAGCCGGCUCCCCUAACGGCCUAUUGUAUCUCCCGCUUUCUGCAGCAACGUCGCCGACGCCUCGAGCAUCUUUGUGGUGGAUGCUUGCCGCUUUUGAUGCUCCGUGAACUCCCGCACAUAACGGAGGAUCAUGGCACUCCUCUCCUCCUUGAGCUCACGGAGCUCCACGUCCUUGGCCCUGAGCUCCGCAUCCUUGGCAUGGAGCUCCUGUGUCAGGUGCCUCACCACGGACUCCGUGAUAUGCUGCGCCGCCAUGCCAUCAGGUAGAAGCAUUGGGGAGAGGAAGCAAAGGGGGCGAAAUGGCUGAAAGGCAAUGCAAUCUACGGGAAGGCGGAGGGAGCGGGGUUGGUUUUCACCACGGUAAAACACCAGUCGACGACUUCUCACAUCAGGGAGCAGUGGGUUUUUACAGGCGGAGUCAUCGUGACUAAUUGCUGCCGCGCCUGCUCCCGUCAAUCAAAAAAUUAAAAAUCCUGCCGCGCCUGCUCUCGUCAAUCAAAAAAUUAAAAAUCCUGGCGCACCCAAACACCAGAGCAAUGCCGCGGUGUAUAUUUAAAUUUACCUACCGGCAAGUAGAUAAAAAAAGGGUGAAAAAACAAAUGUGGCGGCGGCCUACCUAAUCGGUCGAACUAGCCCAACUAGCUAGCCACCGUGCUUCACUCAUGUUCUCGGCGGGAAAGGUCGUCGUUCGUGAUUUGAUGACUCAUUUACUUUCUUCGGUGCUACGACUGAGGAGGACCCAGAAAACGCGCGGUAGGGCAUCCCACGUCAGGAAGAAUAUAUGCGUGCACCACCCGGGAGGACCCCGAAACCGCGCGGUAGGGUGUGCCACGUCUCGUCACGGAGGAAAAUUGUGCAUGUAAAAAUAUAUGGUAUCAGACGUAGUACCUAUGGUUCGACCUCGGGACCGAGCCAGUCGGUCGAAAACACCCCACUAGCCACACAGGUUCAUCAUGCAAACGUGGCAUGGAGGAUAGAUGUGGUUAGCUCCGUCUCGACCAGCCACAACGUCUCUUGUUCUAGGCGAUUCUUCUAUUUUCCAAGCUUUUUUUAGUUGUAAUAACACCACGGCAAGCUAGCGCCACUCUUCGUGUGUGCCCGUGCAAAGGUUAGAUGAUGGAGAGAAGAGAGAUUGAGAUCGCAGACCUGGGACCCACCAGUAAGUGAGACAAUGGUCAUGCACGUGUUGACGAGGCACUCCCUCUACUCUACUCAACGCAAGUACUGUAUAAAAUCAUGUUAUGGGACAAAGCCAACAACCGUUUGUUUUUUCAGGCUAUCGACUUACGCUUUGUAGUCUAGGUUGCCUUUCCGAAUCUCGUCUGUCAGAUUUGUUAGUUUUAGGUCCAAAUUUGAUUGAUGACAAGUGGGACCCCCGUGUGUUUUUCUGAUAUUUCAGUGUAGGAUGGUUUUUUUGAACAAACACUUUGCGCGGUUAGACAAGUAACGGCACGAGUUACACGUAUUUUGCAAGUUUACGAACAAAAAUGACAGCGGCAUAGAAUAUCACAUCCACCCCACAGCUUAGAUACUAUGGUGAUACGAGUUUUUACACCGUUAGAAGUGAGAUCCAAUGGCUUGGGACUAGUAUUUGUAAUUAUGCGCAAUUUCCAAACUCUCCAAACGUUGUUUUGCAAAUAAAACAUUCAGGCGUCGUGUGUUCCGCUGCAUCUUCGAUCCAACGGCUCCCUUGUGCUCAUAUUAGGUGCUCCCCAUAGCUAAAUUACCCGCUACGGUGAUAUGAGCAUCUAGAUCGUAUGAUCAUUGAUUAGAUGGCACAUGCGUAGUACUUGUACUUUCUGCGCAUUUCCCAAACUCUAUCAACCGUAUAUUGCAGAAACAUUGAAACCUCCUACUGUGGGCCGUUAGAUCUCAAUGAACUCGUAUCACCGUAGAAUCUACGGUGUGGGGGCACCUCAUACUCUCCCAUGCGAGAAAACAUAAGGUGCUAUCACAGCUUGGAUGCUACGGUGAUACAAGCUUGGAGGUCGUUUGAUCUGAGAUCCAAUGGCAUUUGAGCAGUCUUUGUGCUUGUAAGCAGUGGCCGAACUCUUUUGGGGCUUUUCUGCAAAAAACCAUUCGAGCCACCGAGGAGGUCUUGGGUCACAAAUCCAACGCCUCCGAAGAGCUUGUAUCACCAAAGCAUCUAAGGUUUGGUAGCACAUGAUAUUCUUACAUACAUGAGAAUAUGAUGUCCUCCUUCACCUUAGAUGUUAUGGUGAUAUCAGCUUCGAGGUCGUUGGAUAUGGGAUCAAAUGGCAUCUAAGUAGUUUUUGUACAAAUUGUGUGCAAUUCUCAAACUCAUCAAGGUUUCCUGCAAAAUAUUAAGACACAUCAUGUGAGCUGCUAUAUCUCAGAUCUACAAGCUCCAAGCAACUCGUAUCGGCAUAUAGCAUCUAAAGUAUGGGGGCACAUGAUAUUCUCCCGGGGAGGAGGGGUGGAGGUGCACAACCAAUCAGUGGUUGGGAGGGUGGGGACAAAUAUAAUCUAAACAACCCUGAACAGAACUCCACAAUUUUAUCUAAGGUCGAGGGGUUGACCCCCGACAAUCAUAGCUCCGCCUAAACACAACAUUUGCAUGUACUGUAGUACUAGACUUAAUAUUCAUGUUUCAGUUUCAUGUUCAUUUUAAAUAUUUAACUGAGGACCAUGGAUGUCUUACAUUUUACUCCCUUCGUUCCUAAAUAUUAGUCUUUUUAGAGGCUUCAAAUGGACUGGCACAAAUGGAUGUAUAUAGACAUAUUUUAGAGUCUAGAUUCACUCAUUUUGCUCUGUAUGUAGUCACUUGUUGAACUCUCUAAAAGACUACUAAUAUUUAGGAAUAGAAGGAGUAUUUUUGAAUUUGUGUCAUACAUUCAUGGUUUGGAAAAAUAGAUGCACUAUACUUAUUGGAUUGUUGUUGUGUUCGUGCGUGUGUGUCUGUGUGUGUGUGUGUGGUCAUAUGCUUGAUACAUACAAAGUUUUCUCACGUCCAUAUUGUUCAUCUUUUAAAUUUGAAUUUGCAUUGGAAAACUUACUAGGGAUACCAUGAAAUGUGAAAUCAACGUUGAGAUCACUAUAUCACAAACUAACUCUAAUUCAACAACUCGUCAUAAAUCAAUUACCACGUUGAGAUUAGUAUUUGCAAGGAAAAUACGAGUAUUGUAAUACACAUAGAUUCGUUCAGCAAUUUAAAAGGUUCCUUUCGUAUUCUCGAAUGGUAGGUACCAACGGCGUACCAGCCAGACCUUGGCUCGUGUUGAUCCUAAAAAACUGGGCUCGUGUCCUUCGGUGGCAUGCGUGGUACGCACAUUAGGCAACCCGAACAGAUCGAGCCUCAGCAUUUCAAGUCGAAAUAUCUGGCGGCCAGAAUUCCAGCCCUAGGAAAUUCCCCUCAUGUCCCUGGUCCAUAAUGACUACCAAUGAACAACGGAGGGAUGCUUUAGUAACUAGAAAACGUUAUCUACCGUGCCGAGCACGGUUCAAUUCCCUCGGUCGCCGCUCGUCAAGGUCACCCAUCAACUGCAUUGCCUAGUACUACUACUACACCAGGAUGAGCACAGAAGUGAGCCCGUUUGUUCGUGCCUAGUACUUGAGUUAAUAUAUCAGGUAAUGUACUGGUACAGAGAUAUUAUCCUUUUACUCUACAUAUAUAACUUGUCUGAAGUCUAACUAAGCAAAAUGUUUGACCAAAUCCUUUCUUAAAAAAUACAACAGGACAGAUGUAUGGCUUGAAAAUUUAUUGCAUGAUGCAGGUUAUGAUAUUGUUUCGAAUCAUGGAUCUUAAAUUUCAGAAAAUCCAAAAGUGAGCACAAAUUCUUGAAACUAAGCAUGGUCACGUGAGAUGGCACAAAUAUUACUUCGUAAGUUUUUUCUUGAAUUUGAGAUAAGGUACUUAUGACAAGUUGCACAAAUGAAGAGCCAAGGUAUUUUGGAACAAAGACCUGUCACGUUAAGGUGAACACGUUCACUAUUGAAACCGUGGGCAUUUACGUGCCACCACGAGUCCUCGCUUCUCAUCGGCAGGUGCCGUCCGAGCAAGCGUGUGAGUCGACGGGAGGCGUGCGAGCAGACCGCUGCGCUGGCUGUCAAGGAGGCGUGCGAGCAGACCGCUGUGUAGGCUCACCGAGAGGCGAGCCCUUUGACCAGGCUCCGCCGCCCACCGUCGUCCCAACUGCUCCCACUUUUAAUGUCGCCGGUGCCGCAGUUUAAAAUCAACCCCGCACUACCCGGUAUCGCUACAAUCCUCUCUCUUCCUCUUCGAUUCUCCUGUCGUCUACCUCCAACUAGGAUGACCUAAACGUACGCCAUACCGCAUCAUGAUGGUCUGCCCUUAGUGUUCCAGUUUCCUGAGGAAGACACCCAGCCGGAGUCUCAAGAACAUAAGGCGCUUUGGGACAAGCUUGAACUGGCCUUGCGGGAAGACGUCGCGCCUGUCGCCGCUCCCGUUCCGGCUCCCAUCGCCUCGACUGCGCCAGCGCCCAUCCCCGAGGCAUUGAUGGGCUGGGAGCCGCACAUUGUCAUCGAGCUUGAUCCCACGGGGUUCCACGAGGUUCCCGCCGACUUUCACACGCCUAUGCACCUGCCAGCGCAUGUGCCUGCGCGUGCACUGACGGGCACGCCCGUGCCGGUGCCCGUGCACCUACCAGCGCAUGCACUGACGUGCGUGCCUGUGCCGGUGCCUGUGCACACGAAUGUCUCCGCCGCACCGUUGACAGCGCAUGUCCCCGCGCGGGUGCUAGUGCCCCCCUCAGCGGCAUGGAUGGCCGCUGUCGACCGCUUCCUUGCACCAGCGCCAGUCGCCUCCCGCCAGUUGACUCGCUCCGAAGUCCAGAACAUUUUGGCCUCCCUUGAAGCUAGGCCAACGUCUAGGAGUACUCCAACAAUGGCGCAAGAUGCCGCCGUCGCUGUCGGUCAGUGGCCCAACGAUACACAGAGCACGUCAGAGGAGCCGCUUUCCACCGCGAGACGCCCCCACCGCCGCCGCGUAAUCUAAAUUUUCCAUGAAAAACGUUCAGAUUGCCAUGCUUAAAAUCCGAACGUUUAUCAUUUCUAUUUAUUUUAUAUCGAUCGUCGUAUAAUUUAAAGUCGAAGUCAGACUGAACGAAAUGUAUGGUUUGAUUGAUUGAAUGUUCUGCUAGAUCCGUAUCAAAUUAAGUAUAAAAUGUCAUCAAGCCACAUGUAUUCCUUAUCAUCCAACGACCUAGACGGCUUCAAUGUCCAGCGCUCAACACGUUAAGCGUGCAAUUAAUUUCAUGCCAAAAAUAGUGCUAAUAACAUGACAACACGCAAAUAAUAUCCUAGUAGUUAAUAUCUGCAUGCACUUAAUAUACUUCCAAAUUAACGUGCAUUGCACAUACACACUAACUAGUGCUGCUAGUACAUGAAACUGGUGCCGUGACUUGUGAACGCGUCCAGAUAUGGUCAACGGCAACAUCGCCCACAAGUUCUUCCUGUUUGCCCAUGAGUCUAAACGCAGAAGGGGAGGAGAGAGAGAGAGCACACAUGGAACCCACCAGUAAGUGAAGGCGAAUAGUACUAAAAAUAAUAUUACAUGUUAUCCAUUAAUUAGGCUGUGGUAAUAUAAAAACAUUAUGUGAACAAAGGGGGUACAACAAACAUUGCUAUUCUACGUAUGUUGCUUAUUGACGUGCGGCUUGAAGGCCCGGUCGCAUGUUCGAUCCUCGUCCUUUAUUUUUUAAUUUGUAUAUGGGUCCAAAUUUGUUUCAUGACAUGUGGGCCCCUCGGUGUGUAGUUUGUAGCACUUUAAUUUCUGGGUCGAAAUUUGUUCCAUUCCAAGUGGACUAUCGGUGUGUAGUUUUGUAGCUUAUUUAUAAUAAUUAAUGAGAACAACAUAGUUUUUUCAAUAAUACCAUGGUGCGACAUUGAAGGCGAGGCUGGACGUGCGAGAGAGCGUUGACCGAGCCAGAGAGAAAUCAACUAGGGGAGUUGCGUGGGUUGCAACGGUGUUUGGAGUAGUUGUGGGCCGAAUGCUACGAAAAUAUAAUCUAAACAGACCGGAAUAAAUGCCUACACAAAUUAAUCCAAGGUCGGAGUGCCCCUCGGAAUGUAAAUAGCUCCGGCUUUGCGAGGGAUGGAGAGGUAGUAGCUUCAACGCGCAAAAGAUAUGGUGUGAGAAAGUGAGGUCAAUCGAGAGACAUAUAGAUAGAGAGACAAAGUGAGCAUGGUCCGACAUUCAUUGAACAAAUAUAUAUGCUCUGGAGAGAUAUUGUCCGAUUGAGCUUUUUGGCAAGGGUGAGGGCUGUAAGAUAGAGCUUGAGAGAUGAUCCAGUCACAGACGUGUAGAUAUAUUUUGUGCAUGGGAGGAAGCAAGGUCAACCGAUCACAUAGGGUCGCUAUGCGAUCGAAAGAGUGAGACGGGUUGGAGAGAGUGACCUAGAUAGACGAUGUGCGUGUGAGAGUAUACAAUGUGAAUAGGUCGAAUUGGGCUCAAACAUGGUGAUAUAUCGUUUUUGUCCGAGAAAGAGUGAGGUCAAUCGAGACAUACGGAGAGAGAGAGAGUGAGAGAGAGAGAGAUUGAGUGAGCGUGGCCCACCAUGAGGUCGAAAGAGUGGCGGCGGCUUGGAUGGACUGACCUAGAUAGACAAUCUGCGUGAGAGAGUAUAGAGUGUGUCGAUCGAGGCCCGAAUAGGGAGAUAUAUCAUUUGUGUGUGAAAGAAAACAAGGUUAAAUGAGACUCGGAUAAAGAGAGCGAGAUUGAGCGAGUGUGGCCCGUCGUGCGGAAGAAAGAGUGAGACAGUCUCGAGGGAGUGACCUAGAUAUACAACGUGCGUGCGUGCGCACGAGAGGUUGGGGGGGGCUAGAUAGGCAAUGCAUGUAUUUAGCGCGAGAGGGUGAGAGGGAGAGGGGAGAGAGAGAGAGCUCGGCAUGGGGUGCAAUGGCGGGUGUGUGAGGUAAAUACAUUUGGUAACAGAGUGGAAAAAGGGGUUGUGUAGUUGAGAGACUUAGAGAUCGAAACAUGGAGAGAAAGAAUGAACGUAUGUUGGAAACCGAUAGCUUUCGAAGGUGGUUANNNNNNNNNNNNNNNNNNNNNNNNNNNNNNNNNNNNNNNNNNNNNNNNNNNNNNNNNNNNNNNNNNNNNNNNNNNNNNNNNNNNNNNNNNNNNNNNNNNNNNNNNNNNNNNNNNNNNNNNNNNNNNNNNNNNNNNNNNNNNNNNNNNNNNNNNNNNNNNNNNNNNNNNNNNNNNNNNNNNNNNNNNNNNNNNNNNNNNNNNNNNNNNNNNNNNNNNNNNNNNNNNNNNNNNNNNNNNNNNNNNNNNNNNNNNNNNNNNNNNNNNNNNNNNNNNNNNNNNNNNNNNNNNNNNNNNNNNNNNNNNNNNNNNNNNNNGGUAAAAACAACAUUUGAAUGUACAUAGUACGAGAAUUAAUAUCAAUGUUUCAAUUUGGUGUACAUUAUAAGAUUUGAACCGAGGACCAGGCAUAUGGGUAAUUAUUUCGAAUUCGUGCCAUACUAAGUUUCGAAAAGUUGACAUUGACUCAGUUUGUUGUGCUAUUUUGUAGGUCAUAUGUUUGAAUCCAUCCAAAAAAUUUCUCACUACCAUGGUGUUCAUCAUAUACAUAUGAAUUUGUAUUAAAAAAGUGGCGUGGAUACAGUGAAAUGCGAAAUCCACAUUAGAAUUGGAGAUCGCUACGUGACACACACUCUAAUUCAAAUAACUAACUACGUGACACCUGCACUCUAAUUCAAAUAACUAAUUAUGUAACACACACUCUAAUCCAUGUUAGCGUGGGUACCCUUUCGAUUUUUUUCAAAUAACUCCUCAUUAAUUAAUUUAUAGUACUCCCUCUGUUCACUUUUAUAAGACCUUGAAGACAUUUCAAACAAUGUGCAAAACAUUUCAUUUUAAGUUGUCUGAAACGACUUACAAAAGUGAACGGAUGGAGUAUCUCGUUUCGAAUGACUAAAUAUUGCAAGGAAAACACGGGCAUGGUAAUACAUACAGAAUUGUUUGCAAAUGAAAGAAGAUUCGUUUGCAUUCUCAAAUGUAGGCACACCAGGUAGACCAGGGUCGUGUCGGGGUGGACGCUGCUUUAGUGCCUUAAAGACAACUGCCUUUGGGUCACUGACAUGUGGGCCAGCCACCUGUUGGGCCCACAUGUCAUGGACACAAAGGCGGGUGCCUUAAGGCACCAAAGCAUAGUCCUGUCGGGGUGGUCGCGUGUGUCGGACGGACGCGUAGCACCCAGCCACCCAACCCCCCUCCCCCCCAAAAGGACGACGACAAUAUAAGUUCGUGCUUCCACGUUUCGGAUUGAAAUAUCUGGCGGCCCCAAUUCCAGCCCUGCAAAAUCUCUCUUCUCCACCGUCCCCUUUCACGCCCAGAUUGCCCAAAUCCCUAAUUCACCACCAACCCUUGAAUCGCCCCUCGUCUCGUCUCUUUCCCCACGGUUCCCCACCUCUGCGCCGGACGACGACGACGAAGACAACGGUCGCGCUUCACCACCGCACCGGAGCUACCUCAUCUACGCCCUCGUCCACCGCACCCAGUGGUCCACCGACAACGUCGGCCACCGCAACCAACGUGCCUCACAGACACCGAGUUCCACCGCAUUAGGUGCGCUUCGCCGACGCCGUCUCCCAGCUCACCGGGGCUACUUCACCGAGCACAUCGUCGCACCUCCGCCCCCCGAGGCCGUUGGGGCUUCACCAACGGUCUCGUCCACCGCAUCAUAGCGCUCCGCUGCCACUCAAGAUCUGCAUCCGUGCAUGGCCAGCUAGCGCAUCACCCUCAACGGCUCUGAAGUGACCCGCACUCUAGCUAGGAGAGCAUGCCCAAACGCCGGCCCGAACUAGGUAUCCACACAUCACUCCCUUGUGCACUGUUUCGACGAUGUUUGGAUAUCCUUUCACUGCUCUCUUAGCUUACACGCCUAUGCAACUCUCACUUUAACUCUUAUUUAUUCUGGAGAUAUCAUCUGAAACAAGCAAAUCCAUUUUUUAGCGAAGCAUGACGGCGUUACGGGAUCUGGUACACAUCCUGCACACCCGUAUAACCUUGUAAGUAUCUAUCCUCCGGUACAACAUCAAGGUCGAUUCCUCUUAUUUGAUCAACCAUUCGCCGUGUCAAAAAUGCAGAGGGGGAUGCAAGGAGCACAAGGCCUAUACAUCCAAGCAAGUGGUAACAUGGAUUUGUACAUACAACAUCCCAAGCGCAAGCAAAGCUGGAGUGAGCCUGUACAACAAGCUAGUGUAAGUCCCUGCAUUUCAUUUAAUUCGUACUGGCAUUCGUGUAUGAUUUGUGUGCAGUGGCUGAUCCACGAAUUCAAGUUACCAGGGGCGAACAUUUAAUUUAAAAAAUACGAAGGCACUUGCACUCUGGAAAUCAACAUAACUUGAGAAAUGUGAAGCUACAUGCACUUUGAAAACCAGCUAAUGAUCCAAAGUAGUUCAGAUUAUAAACACUAAAUGAUGCAGGCACCAAAAAAGACAAAAUGCAACAUGGUGUACAAGGACUACAAACAUGGUCUGUACCUGCUUGAAUAAUUCGUUCUCUGGCUGAAAAUAUCGUAGUGUAAUUGCACGUAUAACCAGUGCGCAAACUGCAUAUCAAUAUAUCUAUCCUGCACAAAUAUGCCAAUAGUUUCAAACAACGGAUUAGAUAAGUAUUUAUGCUAUGUUGUCAUGAUACGGGGACUUUCUGAUAGAUGGCCUCGACAUUGUCUCAAGCUAUGAAAAUGCACUAUAAUUUGCUUGUCAUCAAUGCCUGCAAAUCUCUGUCUCUCUCAACAUAGUAGAUCAUCAUUAGACACCAAAUCCUUCAAUGAGCUUGCAAAAUGCUUGCAUUAGAACCCUCAUUAGACACUAAUAGCACUUAUGCCCGUGCGUUGUAAUGGGAGAAAAACUGGACAUGUCCUCAAAUUAAGUGAAAAUUGUAUGUGCAAACACAGUUGUUCUUCACUACAAGGAAAGCAUUAAUUGUUAUGUCCAUUAUUUAAAAGUUUUCUAUCCAUUACAAAAUGGUAUUUGGUAUAUCUUUUUCAAUAAGAACGUGUAUUAAUUGAAUAUGUAGUAUAAGGUUAGAUUACCUCGACCCAUAUUUACUCAGGCUUGUGUAAUACUCAGAAAAUUUAGUGUACUUUAUGACAAUCAUGAAACCACACCGAACCAGGACCAUGGUCCAAAAUGUCACUAUCAUCUAUAAUCAACUGAACACCGACACUAAAAAUGAUAGUGGUUCUAAAAUUCUAAAGAAAAUGUAGAUCCUCUACCUUAUCUGUCAAGACUCCCUGAAAAUAAACCCCCUAAAAGAAGAAGAUGAGAAGGAGAAAAAUAAACAGUUACAAGCCAAAGCUUGAUGACACAGCCAACAUUAGAUGCUUUCUCAAGGUUUCCAACAGAUUUUCCCCAGGAAGAGGAGCUCCCAGAACAAACUCAACAAGCUCAAGCAACGACAGCAGGUCCCUAUUAUAGCAAGAGGAAAAAAAGAGGAAUUGGACAAUGAGAAGCAGCAAACAAUGUUGUGACACAGUAAGCUUGCAAAUAACAUACCACAAAGAAUGAGAAAAUGUGCAUGUAGAUUCGCUAAAGAAAGACUUUUCAAAAGCACAUUUACUCGUGGAGCUAUGCAAAAAAGAAAUUACCUUCCGAAAUGCCACUUAUGUUGCCAAAAGCUAAAAAAAGCAGCAAGCAACAGCACUAUUGUUAUCACAGCAUCAUAUAUUCUGCAAAUAUCUCCAAACAUAUACAUCCUAGAGUGAAUAGAAAAAAAACUAUGACCGAAUGGACCAAUUGUUCCAGCACUCGACUCUAUAUCCCUUGCUGGGUGUUUGUCUCUUAAUUGGAAGUUUAUCUAAAUAAUUGAAUUCUAAUCAGGGAUCAGGACUGGCUCUACUAUCUCCAGGCAAGAAUAUGAUGUUGGCUUGCUAAUGUUCAGGGGAAGAGAGUAGCACCUAACGCUAGAACUAUGAUUGGUUAGCUCCCAAACUUGAGAAUCAUGUGUGCACUGGCAACAGCAAGAGGAUGUUUCAAAGGUAUGUUUACUGGGCAUGCCUAUUGACCAUAAUGCAAAUAAAGUUCUGCUUCAUCCCAGUUUGGACUACACAAUAAGUGCAGAAUGCAGCUCUUUAAUGUUUCUACAUGUCUUUAAUGGCACUGAUUAUCUUUCUGGUCAUUAGUUUGCCAAGUAAAAUUUAUUAUUGACUUACUUUGGCUGAUAUAUUUGACACAACUAUCUGGAACUUUUCUGUUGUUCUUGAGCCGACAACAUGACCAGCCUCGGUGACUUUGCUGAAGGCACCAUUGAACCAGCUUGUUCCAUCAGACACAUAUCAACAAGUAGAGGAAAUAAGGGCGAAGGAUCAGCCAUACUGAUAAAGGACAUCAUAUGUUACUCCAAAGGUGCAAAUAUGUUACAAAGGUCUACAUUUCAUCAAGAUACAUUAAAACUUGAUCACCAGAUGAUAUAAAACACACACACAUAUUGAGUAAUUCAACUAUAGCAAAAGCUUGCAAAAGAAAAGACCCGUUGGUUUUCAAAGCAGAGCCUGUAUCACUUAGCUUGCGCUCUACAGCUAGCAAAUCAGCCAUUGUUUUGUCAGAAACAUGGAACCUUUAGAUUCAGAUCGGAUUAGUAACAACGACAGUCAACCAAAUAACACUUGUAACUAAAUUAUGCGGACUAACCUGAAACUGCUUUUUAGAUGAGCUAACCUGAAACUUUUAAGCGGACCUGAAACUAACCGGAAAGGCAAGAGAUAUGGGGUGGAGCUGGUGGCGUGGAGGUUGGGCCUGAUCCUGCCUUGGAGGGACAAGACGACCGGACGAGCUCUCCUCACUCCACCGCAGUCAGCGUCGUGCUUCUGUGACUCCGCUCCAUGAGCGCGGCGUGGUGUGGCCGAUGUAGGAGAGGAGACGGGAUGGAGGUGGGGGGAGCAGAUGCUUCUUCGAUCCAGCGCUCGAUGGGAGAGGACAAAGGAGGACAGAGCUCCGCCUGCCGCGCCCAUCCUCGAAUCCGCCGCCCUGUCCCUCCGCAGGAACACCGUGAUCCAGGGCUUCGCUCGACAAAGGCCUCCCGUGCGGCGCUCUGGCCGCCUUCAACCAGGAAAACGGUAGGGACGCCCAAUCCUAUUUCGCGAGAGAGAGACGUUGGUCGGGAGAGG